rnacentral:rRNA from 1 species
UACGGAGGAUGCAAGCGUUAUCCGGAUUUAUUGGGCGUAAAGCGUCCGCAGGUGGUUUUCCAAGUCUGCUGUUAAAGCGCGAGGCUUAACCUCGUACAGGCAGUGGAAACUGGAUGACUAGAGUAUGGUAGGGGUAGCGGGAAUUCCCAGUGUAGCGGUGAAAUGCGUAGAUAUUGGGAAGAACACCGGUGGCGAAGGCGGCGACCUGGUCCGAUACUGACGCUGAGGCGCGAAAGCGUGGGGAGCAAACAGG